UACGUAGGAGGCAAGCGUUGCCCGGAAUUACUGGGUGUAAAGCGCGUGUAGGCGGCAGGCCAAGUCUGUGGUGAAAUCGCUCGGCUCAACUGGCGGGUCCAUGGAACUGGUCAGCUGGAGGACGGUAGAGGUGAGUGGAAUUCCCGGUGUAGUGGUGAAAUGCGUAGAGAUCGGGAGGACACCCGUGGCGAGGCGGGUGCUGGGCCGAUACUGACGCUGAGCGCGAAGCCA
rnacentral:rRNA from 1 species